GGGGCUGUAGCUCAGUUGGGAGAGCGCAAGACUGGCAGUCUUGAGGUCAGGGGUUCGAUCCCCCUCAGCUCCACCA
rnacentral:tRNA from 1 species